rnacentral:tRNA from 1 species
UCCCUGGUGGCUCAGUUGGUACAGAGCCUGCCUACAAUGCAGGAGAUCUGGGUUUGAUCCCUGGGUUGGGAA